GUGUUGCUGGGUGUAUGCCCAUUUUCCUGUUCGAACGUCCACUCUGUAUUCCACAAAAGCAUCCUCUACCGGUCAUCUAUCCGUGUCUCAGUGACAAGUGCCUUGCUUGCCUAGAAUUCCCUGACAUCACCAACAAUGCUACUAUGAGCAUCUUCGGCUGUGUUCCAAGAUGAACCGGUGCCCCCAAGUUUCCUCAGGGAGCAAACAAGCACUUGAGAAGCCACCUUGGACCUAGAGAUAGAAGCCGAGAACCAAGGGAGGCAGAGCCGUCCCGUUGCCCCAGGCCCUUGCUAAAGGAAAGGUGUGGUUUCCACCGCUGCCCGUCAGCUUCUUUGAUGUGGCACGGGGGUCUGCACACUAAUCAGCUCCGGGUGGAGGCGGCCUGCUCCUGCUCCGCAGAUCCAGUCUCCUGAUCUCUUGUGUCCAGUGGGAGAGUGUGGACUCGGCUUCUGACGGUUCCAGCCAACAUCUCCUGUCCUCUCUGGGCUCUGCCUGAGUCACAUGCCCACUCCUGAGCCAGUCACUCAGGCCAGAUGUAACAUCACCUGCUCUUCCCAGAAGCUGCUGUCCUGUGCCAGUUGCAGGACCCCUCAGAUGAACCUCAGUUUCCUUCCCGUCUGGCCUAUCUCUGUUCCACGUUCAGUGGGAUUUGUGCAGGGCUGCAGGAAGGCCAGGCGGCGUUGCCCACAAUGGUUAUUGCCUCCAACUCCAGAGGGCCCCAUCAACUGCCACCGGCUUUUAUUCCUGCAAAUAAAAAUGUAAGCUCCGCAGCAAGGAAACUGCAGGCUAAAGAGACAAAGCUCAUAAACUGGCAUUUUAAAUGUGGAAAGAAGGUGCUGGAAAUUCUCUGGGUGCUGCCUCCUGCAUCCCCUCUCCACCCAUCCAGUUGCUGGGCACAACUGCCCCCUAGAAGGACUUCUUCCAAGCUCAGGAGGGAGCCCAUCGGUGGGUGAGAAAGGCAACAAAUUGGAAAGCCUUAGGAUGGCAUUGAAGUGGUUUGAGCCACCCCCCAGCCCCCAAUGCACACGGACUUGGGUACCUCCUUUGGUACCAAAGCACAAUAAAAAUAAG